CUCCCCAGUCCUAACCCCGGGCCCACGCUCUGCACAGGAAAAACACCAGUCGGGCAAGGCCUACGCUAUUUCCGUAGUGACCCGCAUGACGCAAGAGCGACACUUCCGCUCCAUCGAGGUGGCGGUGCCGUAACCAGUGAGUGACAGUCUGAGCUCUGCGGCUGCGGAGGUCAGGAGCGCCGCACGCACUGACAGACUCCGGAGCAGAGCCGUGCGUAGCAGCGGCACAUACAGCGUCCUCCCGGGAGAUGGGGAGACCGUGUGACAGGGAGACCCCGGCGCGGCCGUGCAGCUGCGGGACGGGGUCGCGCCUGGAUCGGUGCUGUCGCGAUGUCGAACGCAGCAGAAGCCGGCUGUAGAGUGGGAGACGGAGCCUGAAACCCGGCCUGGCUGCUGUCACAGGACCGAAUACGGGGCAGGCACUGGUUUAUAAGGAGCUUCCCAUCCACCCUAUAUAAGAAGCAGAACAGGACAAAGUGUACAGGAAGGACCGCAGAGCUCCGUAUGCUGGUGGACCUGACGGUGAUUGAUCCUGCAGAUGCUUUGCUGCAGCAUUUUGAAGGUCAAGCAAGAUCAGAGGACUCUUAAGACCACACGGCUCUCCAGUGAUUAUUCUAGACUGGGAUCAGUACCAUAAUGGUCUGUCUGGUAGAAGAAGACUCUCUAAAGAACAAGAUUACGUUUCUCAAUGUGUAAUGGCACCUUAGGAAUAUUUAUACACGCUCAGAUCGUCCAUCCAUUAGAGUCUCCGCAUUGCCGAUUUUUGUCCUGGCGUCAUCUCUUACAAGCAAGACUAUUAACAGCGUUUGACUUGAGGUGCGAACAUGAAAAGUGACAAUGCCGUAAAGCUGACAUUUGUGUAGCCGCGCCGCUACAUGUGCUGCGGAUGGUUUUAAAUCUUUUGGAGUUAUCCUUUUUUACUAGCUGCUCAAGAGUCAUCGACAGCAAAAUAGAUGAUCUGUAAUGAAAGUGAAUCUGUUUACGCCAGUUCUAUGCUGUUUCUGUUAUGAAAAGAGAGAAUUAUGAAAGGAACAGAUGUAUCCGAGUCCUUGUAUAACCCACAUCUCCGGAGGCUAUCUUAAACCAUCUGAUCAAAGCUUGCGGGGUACUCUGUAGUAUUGUCAAAUUUUACUACAGUGCUCUUAUAUAUACUGUAAGUACUUUUUUUUUUUUUCAUGCACACUCAAAAUAAUUUUGAGUAUUCAUUAAAUUGUGUAGUUACAACCUUGAAGUAGAGAAAAGUACGUGGAUGUAUUACCUGCAUGGAAAGAAAAAAAUCUAUUAUUAGUUCCACAUGACAUUUGGAAGAUGCAGAUAGCAAGUUAAUGAAGCAAACUGGGAUACGAUUUGUUUACAGUAUCCACUUUUUUGAUAUGGAUCUGAUAAAGGGGCCUAUCCAUAAAAAAGCAAAGCUUCAAUUUCAGAUAAAUGUCUGAAAAAUAGGAUUGCGUGCGCUGGCUUCUCGUCAAUAAAUCUGUGGACUCCAGUUAAGGAUGUAGACCUAUAUUUUUGUGUUUUUUUUUAAAUAGAAACACAUUAUUUCUUUUUGUAGGAAUAUGAACAAGCCCUUCAUUCUUUGCCAGAGAGCCCAAGUCUGACACACACUGGUUUGCAAUAAUUUUUGCUUCACUUCUCAGGUUUUGCACAACGUUUAGGGUGUUUUUUUUUUUUUCAUUUAAUUAUACUUUACUGGCAAAGUCCCAUUCUGGAACUAUGCUCUGUAUUUUAAAACCUAGGCCCUCCUCUCUCUUUUUUUUAUUUUUUAUUUCUUAUCACUCCCCCCUAUCCCCCCCCCCCAAUCCGCAACAAAGUGAAGAAUGAUUAACAGGUGGGCAUCAUGUUUCUCUGCUGAUGUAUGUGGCCAUCUGUGCUGGGACUCCGCCAUUUGGAACUCUUACCCUCCAAAUGCCAAGAAUGUUAGAAAAAGCUAUUUUAUUUGUAAGAAUUUGAGCAGUUAACGCAUAUAGACUUUGUCUUCUUUCUGGAUAAUGUUAGGAAUGUCCAAGUUACUUCUUAGCACACGGGUCCUUCCAUGUCCAAACAGAUGGACAAUUAUUUGGAUUCCAUAGGUUUUGAUAUGGACCAUGGGGAAUACCCACAUUUAGUUUAAUCAUUACUGGUGUUUUUGUUGUUGUUGUCAUUUUUAAACUUCAGAAGGAUGUGUAGAAUAGAGCAGUGGUUCUCAAACUCGGUCCUCAGGACCCCACACGGUUCAUGUUUUGCAGGUCACCUGUAGAUUAUUAAAAUGUGAUAGUUGGUGAUGCACGCACUGUGCUGGGUGACAUGGAAAACGUGAACCGUGUGGGGUCCUGAGGACCGAGUUUGAGAACCACUGGAAUAGACUGAUGAGGAACAGGAUAAGUCCUAGACUGGACAAGGCCCACCUGAGCCUUAGACUAGGUUCUUGAUGCCGGAGAGCGUUCCCACAGUCCAUGCACAGGUUACACCGUGGUAUUGGUGAUGAGCGCUCACCAGCUGGACAACUCGGCCAUAAGUUAACCUCCUGCUUGGGCUGUGGGACCACUGUGGCAUCUUAUGUCAUCAUGCGAAUAAUGCUCCUCUGUGAAGGUUACAUCCCUUAUGUUGGUUACACCUGCCACAGUCCUACCUUUUAUUUGUUUGAGCGAGCACUAGAAUUUAAAUGGAUUUGUUUGCACAACGGGGAAAAAAUAAUUGAAAUCUGAAAACCUCUGCUUAUGUGUGUUGCGCGGCUAAAAUUCUCCAGAAUAAACUCGGCUGGUAUGACGCCAGAUCGUGAACCAACCAAAGCAAAAACAUUCACAAAGAGUGUCAAAGCAUACACUUCAAGCUUAAAAAUGUGUGUGUGUGUGUGUGUGUCACGUGCAGGCAGUGUCUGCACCACUUUGGGCAAAGCGUAAUGGGGCGGUUCAGCGAAACGCGAUGCCCCCCCAUCUUCAUGUCCCCCCAUACAUAUUGUAGGCCAACAUCAGGCAUUUUCCUGUGCACCAC